ACGACGCACGUAGUAUUUAUAUCGAGACAUUGGCGCGUAUAUUUAUACGGUAUACGUGUGCGUUUGUAUAUUACGCGACGUAAGGACGAGUAGAAUGUUUUGAAUCGAAGGAGAAAGACGCAGUUCGUAUCGAGCCUUCGAAGCGUGUUGUUCUGUGUCUAGUUUAGUGAAAUUAAAUUGUGAAUAUAUUAUAAUUAAUAUGUGCGUAAAAUAUAUAAUUGCAUUUCAUGAAUACGUUUCAUCGUCAUCCCAUAAAUAUGAAGCUUGAUCGAAGAGAUAAUGAGGACGGUGGGGAAACGCCGGGGUUUCCUGCGAUCUUCAACGACACCGCUUGUUCAAUUUGCCGCCUCCCGUAUUAU